CCCGUGCCGUCCCGCCGGGAGCAGCGGGCGCAGCGCCUGGGCCGGGCCGCUGCGGCCCCUCCGCGGGACGCGCAGCGCUCGGAGCUGUCCCGGAGGCUGAGGCACACACGGCUGGUUGCGCUGCUCCGCUUGGCAGCUCCCCGUGUCCGAAGCUAUUGCUCUAGCCACAGCAGAAGGGCUGCGCUGCUACGGCUUCCGAACGGGGACGCUGUUGGCAGGAGCACUUCCUCACGCACUCUGAAAUAACUUCUAAGAGAAAGGCAGUCUUCCUAAAUCAUCGGGAUUUUACCUAAUGACAGGACAUGUCUUCGGUAGGACCCUCCAAACAAAAACAUUUUCCCGUGUGAAUAACACACAAGGGAUGGCCGUGGAUUUGUGCCCCCAGCAGCAGGCACCAGCUGGGAUCUGGCCUGCAACAGCACGAGUCGUCUGCAAACUGGGAUGUACUGGAGCUGCUCCUCUGUGGUCUGAAACGGUGAAUCAUCCCUCAUUUUGUCAUCUCUCAGGGUUUUCCAAAAAACUGGAAAAGGUGCCUCAGUGAAUAAGGACUUUCAAUUGCUCGAUGCCCUGGUGGGAAGGAGUGGGGGCUGGCUCAGCUCCUCUCCAGUCCUGGCUCAAUCUGCUCAGUCCCACCUUGUUCCACUCGCUGGACUCACAGCACCAAACUGCUCCUGGCUGCUCUGUUUCCUCUCAAAGCAGGUUACAUUUUUAUUCACCAUAGUUAUUUUUUCCUGAUCGUCCUUUAGGAGCAAGUUUAUGAUGAAUCAAAAGAAACCACUUUUAAAAUGCAUUACAUAUAGGUUGCACCAUUUUAAUUAGGAUAAGUUUAAAUAUCUCCUGAAAUUAAGCCAGUGCAUAUUUCUUCAAGGAAGAAGCAAGUGAAAAUACUGGAGGUCCAAAGGUGUGGUAGGAUGUAUGAGCAGGAGAUGGUGCAGUGUGUGAAAGUACAGCAGUGUUUGUGGAAAGCAGCAUUAAAUGUACAGAAGAGAUCUAUACAUCAAAAAUUUGCUUAGAAAAUAAGCAUUGCUUUUGUGGAGUGCUACAGCUAAAUUAAAUUUGGAUUUUUAAUGAAUGCUUCUACCUGAAAGUUUAAUUAAAACAUAGUAGAUAUUAAGAUUCAAUUUGCUGUUGUACAAAUAUAAAGAAUAAUUAUUUGUGUUGGAAAAAAUAGAAAUCCACCCAAUACUACUUUUUUUAUGAGUCACAGACUUUAUUGAUUUUAUCAGAGAACAUUCCAUGCAGUCCUCACUUAGUUGCCCCGCUCCUGAACUUCAUUUGUAUACAACCAUCUCCAGAAUUUUCAUAAGAGAAUGGAAAGCUAGACAUAUGAUUCUGCAAUUAGUCCUGACUAUGAAACAAAUUUUAGUGCCCAUUUUUCUAAUGCUGUGACAUUAAACUGGGUUUAAUUAAUCUGGUUUCCCUAAAAACCACCCUGGAGGAAACUGGAUUGCUUUGUAACUUUAGAAAUAAAAGUUACCUUCCCACUGGAUGGAGAAAAUGGCAAGUAUUGCAAUUUGAAUGUACAUUUGUGCACAGGUAAUCUGUAAAACAUUAAUUUGUAUUUCUCUCCACUCACUUAUUUUAAAUUGAGCCGUAAUACACAUAAACACACAGGGUAAGGAAGUGUAAUGGAAUGUUUUAUUUAAUAAAACAUGAUGUAUACUGACUCACAUUGGACUUCCUUCAAGUCAAGAGGUGAGGACCUACCUAGGAAUGCUUAUAAACUUGUUGCUGAAACUGCCUUUGGGCUUGAGAUUUUUCAUAGGGAAAAAUACUUCUAGUAAAGUACAGAAUUUCUGAAUGUUUGUAUUCAUUGUAUUAGAAAAAUGUUUUCCAAAUAUUUUUCAUGCAUUUCAUCACAAAAAACAUUUCUGAAUAUAUUUGUUGCAUUUUAAUUUUUUGAGUUAUAUAUGUACAGAAUAAAAAAAAAUAAAAGAAAAA